rnacentral:rRNA from 1 species
CACAGUCUCAGUUCAGAUUGUAGGCUGAAACUCGCCUAUAUGAAGUCGGAAUUGCUAGUAAUCGCGGAUCAGCAUGCCGCGGUGAAUACGUUCCCGGGCCUUGUACACACCGCCCGUCACACCAUGAGAGUCGAUAACACCCGAAGCCUGUAGUCUAACAGCAAUGAGGACGCAGUCGAAGGUGGGAUUGAUAAUUAGGGUGAAGUCGUAACAAGGUAUC